rnacentral:rRNA from 1 species
CUAUGCCAUACCACCCCGAAUGUGCCCGAUCUCAUCCGAUCUUAGAAGCUAAGCAGGGUUGGGCCUGGUUAGUAUUUGGAUGGAAGAAUAGCUUAUCCUUCAGGAAGUCAGGGGAAAGUGAAGG